rnacentral:rRNA from 1 species
CCAGACUCCUACGGGAGGCAGCAGUGGGGAAUAUUGGGCAAUGGGGGAAACCCUGACCCAGCGACGCCGCGUGAGGGAAGAAGGUUUUCGGAUUGUAAACCACUGUCCCCAGGGACGAAGAUGACGGUACCUGGGGAGGAAGCUCCGGCUAACUACGUGCCAGCAGCCGCGGUAAUACGUAGGGAGCGAGCGUUGUCCGGAAUUACUGGGUGUAAAGGGAGCGUAGGCGGGACUGCAAGUUGGGUGUCAAAUCUACCGGCUCAACCGGUAGCCGCACUCAAAACUGCAGUUCUUGAGUGAAGUAGAGGCAGGCGGAAUUCCUAGUGUAGCGGUGAAAUGCGUAGAUAUUAGGAGGAACACCAGUGGCGAAGGCGGCCUGCUGGGCUUUUACUGACGCUGAGGCUCGAAAGUGUGGGGAGCAAACAGGAUUAGAUACCCCGGUA